rnacentral:rRNA from 1 species
AGAGUUUGAUCCUGGCUCAGAACGAACGCUGGCGGCAGGCCUAACACAUGCAAGUCGAACGCCGUAGCAAUACGGAGUGGCAGACGGGUGAGUAACACGUGGGAACGUGCCCUUUGGUUCGGAACAACUCCGGGAAACUGGAGUUAAUACCGGAUAAGCCCUAUGGGGGAAAGAUUUAUCGCCGAAGGAUCGGCCCGCGUCUGAUUAGCUAGUUGGCGGGGUAAUGGCCCACCAAGGCAACGAUCAGUAGCUGGUCUGAGAGGAUGAUCAGCCACAUUGGGACUGAGACACGGCCCAAACUCCUACGGGAGGCAGCAGUGGGGAAUAUUGGACAAUGGGCGCAAGCCUGAUCCAGCC